rnacentral:rRNA from 1 species
AGAGUUUGAUCAUGGCUCAGGACGAACGCUGGCGGCGUGCUUAACACAUGCAAGUCGAACGGAAAGGCCCAUACUUUGUGUGGGUGCUCGAGUGGCGAACGGGUGAGUAACACGUGGGUGAUCUGCCUUGUACUCUGGGAUAAGCCUGGGAAACUGGGUCUAAUACUGGAUAGGACUGCAUCGUAGGUGGUGUGGUGGAAAGAUUUUUUUGGUAUGAGAUGAGCCCGCGGCCUAUCAGCUUGUUGGUGGGGUAAUGGCCUACCAAGGCGGCGACGGGUAGCCGGCCUGAGAGGGUGGACGGCCACAUUGGGACUGAGAUACGGCCCAGACUCCUACGGGAGGCAGCAGUGGGGAAUAUUGCACAAUGGGCGCAAGCCUGAUGCAGCGACGCCGCGUGGAGGAUGACGGCCUUCGGGUUGUAAACUCCUUUCGCUAGGGACGAAGCCAUGUUUGUGGUGACGGUACCUGGAUAAGAAGCACCGGCUAACUACGUGCCAGCAGCCGCGGUAAUACGUAGGGUGCGAGCGUUGUCCGGAAUUACUGGGCGUAAAGAGCUCGUAGGUGGUUUGUCGCGUCGUCUGUGAAAUUCCGGGGCUUAACUUCGGGCGUGCAGGCGAUACGGGCAUAACUUGAGUGCUGUAGGGGAGACUGGAAUUCCUGGUGUAGCGGUGAAAUGCGCAGAUAUCAGGAGGAACACCGAUGGCGAAGGCAGGUCUCUGGGCAGUAACUGACGCUGAGGAGCGAAAGCAUGGGUAGCGAACAGGAUUAGAUACCCUGGUAGU